rnacentral:rRNA from 1 species
UACGAAGGGGGCUAGCGUUGCUCGGAAUCACUGGGCGUAAAGGGUGCGUAGGCGGAUCUUUAAGUCAGGGGUGAAAUCCUGGAGCUCAACUCCAGAACUGCCUUUGAUACUGAGGAUCUCGAGUUCGGGAGAGGUGAGUGGAACUGCGAGUGUAGAGGUGAAAUUCGUAGAUAUUCGCAAGAACACCAGUGGCGAAGGCGGCUCACUGGCCCGGUACUGACGCUGAGGAGCGAAAGCGUGGGGAGCAACAGGG